CUCGAUUAAAGCCCCUUAAUUUUGAAUUUACAAUUGCUGAGAGAAAGAAGUUUUGGUCUAUCUCAUAACUCAUCCUCUUUAGCAAACAUUCCAGUCCCAUCAGACUGAGACAAGACCAUGAUACUAAGUGCCACAUCCAGUCUCUUCUUAAAGACUUCCAGGGACGGUGAAUUCACCACCUCCCUGGGCAGCCCAUUCCAAUGUGUGAUCACUCUCUCCGUAAAGAAUUUCUUUCUAAUGUUGUGGUGGGGGAAAAAACAGUUUUCCCCCUGAAGUUAUAAAAUGGUAAACCCCCAGGGGGUGGUGACCCUUGGGGUUGAGCCAAUGAGCACUUCUGCAAAAUAUAAACAUAUUACCCAGACCGGAAGAGUUGUUGUAGUUGUUGUAGGAGAGGUAGCCAUGUUCUGAGGCCACGAGGAGAAGGGGCAGGAGCCCCACUGGGGGGCUAUGGCCCCCCCCAACCCCCGGCUGGAGUCACAGAAACUCGGAAACAGUGUUAAACUGGACUGAGGUCUGUGACUGAGAAGCUGGGAGUUUUUUCCCCACUGUAAACAACAGCAGGAGCAACGGCAAAAGCAGCAGCGUACGGAGGACAGUGGCAGAGAGCCAAGAGAUAAGAGAGAAGCAGCAGAGAUAACAUGCAGCCAAGGAAGACACAGAGAUCUCUAAUGGAGAGAAAGAGAGCAGAACGAAGCUCUACAGAGACAGAGUUUGGCCUAUGGAAGAGAAGACCCUCUCUUGGAGUCGAAGGGCCGAGAGGGGCUUGGAUACCUCCCUUGUGUCUACUGGCAGAGAUCCAGCUACAACUGCUGCAUGAAAGAGGAGAGCUUGCUGCCCUAGAGACACUGCUGCUCGGAAAGUAGAAAGGAUCUCUUCCUUCUUCCCUCCUGGACUUUUAUUUGGAGGAAGAAGAGAUGUGAUCCAUUGUAAAUACUGUUUUAUCAUGGUAGAGAUA